GACGAACGCUGGCGGCGUGCUUAACACAUGCAAGUCGAACGGAAAGGCCCUGCUUUUGUGGGGUGCUCGAGUGGCGAACGGGUGAGUAACACGUGAGUAACCUGCCCUUGACUUUGGGAUAACUUCAGGAAACUGGGGCUAAUACCGGAUAGGAGCUCCUGCUGCAUGGUGGGGGUUGGAAAGUUUCGGCGGUUGGGGAUGGACUCGCGGCUUAUCAGCUUGUUGGUGGGGGAGUGGAUUACCAAGGCUUUGACGGGUAGCCGGCCUGAGAGGGUGACCGGCCACAUUGGGACUGAGGGACGGCCCAGUCUGCUACAGGAGGCAGCAGGGGGGAAUAUUGCACAAUGGGCGGAAGCCGGAGGCAGCAACGCCGCGUGCGUGAUGACGGCCUUCGGGUUGUAAACCGCUUUCGCCUGUGACGAGGCGUGAGUGACGGUAAUGGGUAAAGAAGCACCGGCUAACUACGUG
rnacentral:rRNA from 1 species